CAAAGCCGCACUGACCCAAGCAGUCCACGACCAGCCAGCUGCCCCCAGACACAGUUCCCUCACUCCUGGUCGGAAGACACUUGAAUACAGAUUCUGCGCUGGCAGAGGAGUGCCGGCGCCUCCAGCUCCCUCAGCUCAGGACCUCUCCCCUGGCAGGAGCAGGGGGUGGAAAGCGUGCGAGCACGCUGGAGCUGAGGAAGCAGCAGGAAGGAGGGGUGUGUGCCAGUGCCAUAGACUCGACCAGGGCCUUCCACGUGCCUUCGCUCCUGUCACGGUCACGUAACCUUCUGAGGUGAGCACUGUCAUCCCACUUUCCAGAAGAGAUGCCUAAGGCUCAAGCCCUACCUGGAAGAUUAGGAAGCCCCCGCCGGACCCCCUUCCUGGUUGACGAUGACAUUCAUUCCAGUAACUGGCUUCGCCCCCUGGCUACAGUUGUUUGGAUAGUGGAGAGCACAUGACUCAAGAUGAACCAAUCAGAGUUGUCCUCCCACUAAUGUGUGCAAUUCAUAAUCAGCCGCACUGGGGAAGUUGGAGACUGGACUAUCAUCUGAUGACAUGUGCCAAAAGACAGAUAAAAACAAGAGACAGGACCAGGCAUGGUGGCUCACGCCUGUAAUCCUAACACUUUGGGAGCCUGAGGUG
rnacentral:lncRNA from 1 species